AGUACUUUCGUUUCGUGUUUGAGAACAAACAUGUUCAAUUAUUGUACGUCGUUAUGAGUGUUCAAUGUUCAUUGUGUGUCAUCAUUGUCGAGCAAUUAUCGAUUCAAGAAGAAGAAAGCAGCGGUAGCCGCAGCCCCCGCAACACCAGCGCCCGCUACAGCCGCUGCUGCUAAAAGUGGCAAGGCAGCGUCGCCAGCAGGUAGCAAGGGACCAUCGCCAGC